CCUUGUUCCCUUUGGUGAGGUGCUGGCUUUGGCUUGUCCUCCUUGGCUAACAAGGGGUGGUGCAGCCAUGUUGGGACUGGAGAGAGCUUUAGAAUUGUCAUUGCUGGUGACAAUCUAAUUCAGGUUUUAUACUGCAGCUCAUCCCUGUGGAACUGAGGACCCAUCCGUAAGAAUGGGCAGGAAGGGACUUGAUGAGGUUGGCAAGAGGGUGAGGCAGAGGCGGGUCCAUCCCUAGGACAUCCCACCUCUCAGAGAUGUCACCACGGGACGCUCCUGUCAGGCCAAUGCUGUACAUGACCCAUCUGAACGACUGCCUCAGGCCAUCAGUAUUAACUUCCCUAAGGUGAAGUUCCAACAGAAGAAAAAGAGCUAAGCAUGCCUGGGACCUCAUUUUGUGCAGAAUUGACCACAGCCAAACAGCUUUAAUCAGACUGCAAGAACACCACUAUUGAGGGCUCCAUCGUGCACAUGGAGCACAAAGUCACCACCAGAGAGAGCACUUCCAAAACUCCUGCAACUACGUAAAUCUGGGAUUCAGGUGCUGAGAAAGACAAUAGAGUCCUGCAGACUUCAUGGAAUGGUAACAGGGAGAAGAAGAGGACCCAAAUUAUUGCCCAAAGGAGAGGAGAGCCCUGGAUCUCCAAGUCUCCCCCUGCAGUGCGGAUAGGACAUCCAGGAGGAAAACUGGGGAUUCAUUAAGGACCUGAAGCUCCCAUUCCUUUAAGAUGCACUCAAGCAAGAUAUUGACUGACUGUUCUGCCUAAAGAGCUAAAAUAUCCUCCUCCUUUAUAAGCGGCAAAUUAUCACACUGGACAUUUUUUCAGAUGGACUUCCAGAGAACAUAAUAGUCUUGAGAUACCUCAUCCGACCUGAAUCCACAUCACAGCUCUGAGAGGUGAAACCUUGUAAAAUCCGUGAGUCAAAUUCCUUCCUGCAAUACAAACUUCUUUCCUCAGAUGAGUUACAGAGAAGAAACCCGAGGACAGAAUUCAACUCCAGUAGGAAAAGAAUUUUAACAGUAACGAAACAAGCAACAAAACAUCAGGGCAACAUCAGGGCAUUUAAGAAACCUUCUGGGCAAAGAAGGUUGGGGGAAAUGACAUUAUUUCAGAAUUUCAUCUCUAUAAAUUACUUCAGGAUUGUGUGACAGUAAGUCUUCUCUAUUACAGCCAGCCAGUGAUGUAAUUAGACUGCCAUAACCAUUCUUAUUUUGGAUUAAGGGUAUUUUUGCUUCAUCUUGGUUUAGAUUUGUUCCUAAGUGAUAUAACUCCAGUUUAAUUUGAAAUAAAAGUGAUGCAGAUAGGUUGUAAUUCAAACUGCUUAGAAGCAGUAUGCAGGUCUGUCCAGG
ensembl:lncRNA